AGUAAACGUGAGAGUGGUCAGCUCAGCAGACCAUCUCAGUCCAAACCACCCUCAUCCAAGGAAAACGCAAACUGUUAGCUUCAGCUUCAGAGAGUACGCUAACCCCUUGCCGGGCCAGCGACAGAGGGAGACUGAGUACCAGCCUCAUCCAGGGAACUGCCUGUUGGACACCAGGUAGAAGGAGCCCCUGGUUGGAUGGCCUGAUGGACUAACGCGGCCUCUGUCUCCUCCUCGGUCCAGAAAACACCAGCUCUGAACACCACUAACCAUGCGGACGUACGUAUCCCCUGUGUCAAGGAACAGAGGGCUUGUGGAAUUGACCAUGAUUUCCAAGGAGCUGGAGAAGAUAUGGAGUUCACCCUCCCCCCUCGGGCGGGUUUACGGAGACAGAUGUAAACAACUUCACCAAAUAAAAUUCUCACAGAAACUAAAAGUGUC